AAAAAAGUGGCCAAGUUGGUCUAAGGCGCCACAUUAAGGCUGUGGUCUCUUCAGAGGCAUGAGUUUGAAUCUCAUCCUGUUCA
rnacentral:tRNA from 1 species